rnacentral:RNase_P_RNA from 2 species
GGAGUCGGCCGGAUAGUCGCUGUUGCAUUGCGUUCAAGUGAUGCAGGAGAGGAAAGUCCGGGCUCUAUAGGACAGGAUGCCAGGUAACGCCUGGGGGGCGCGAGCCUACGGAAAGUGCCACAGAAAAGAUACCGCCCGAAAACCUUUUCGGGUAAGGGUGAAAUGGUGCGGUAAGAGCGCACCGCGCUGCUGGCAACAGCAGUGGCAGGGUAAACCCCAUCCAGAGCAAGACCAAAUAGGGGAACAGCCGGCCUUGGCCGCGACCUGUGGUCCGCAGGGUUCCCGGGUAGGUUGCUAGAGAUCUGCGGCGACGUAGAUCCCAGAUGAAUGACUAUUCUAGACAGAACCCGGCUUACAGGCCGGCUCCCACA